ACACUACCUGCAUCCCCUUUGGCCUGGACCU
rnacentral:piRNA from 1 species